rnacentral:rRNA from 1 species
AGAAUUUGCCUUUAGGAGGGGGAUAACAACUGGAAACGGUUGCUAAUACCCCAUAUGCUUUCGAGUGAAAUGGUUUUUCCGCCUAAAGAGAAGCUUGCGGCUGAUUAGCUUGUUGGUGAGGUAAUAGCUCACCAAGGCGACGAUCAGUAUCUGGUUUGAGAGGACGAUCAGACACACUGGAACUGAGACACGGUCCAGACUCCUACGGGAGGCAGCAGUAGGGAAUUUUCCGCAAUGGGCGAAAGCCUGACGGAGCAAUACCGCGUGAGGGAUGACGGCCUAUGGGUUGUAAACCUCUUUUUUCAGGGAGGAAUCAAUGACGUGUACCUGAAGAAUAAGCAUCGGCUAACUCCGUGCCAGCAGCCGCGGUAAGACGGAGGAUGCAAGUGUUAUCCGGAAUCACUGGGCGUAAAGCGUCUGUAGGUGGUCAAAUAAGUCAACUGUUAAAUCUUGAGGCUCAACCU